rnacentral:rRNA from 1 species
UUGGCCCAGAUCGUUUACCGUGAAAAAAUUAGAGUGUUCAAAGCAGGCAGAUCCAAUUUUCUGCCACCGAAUACAUUAGCAUGGGAUAAUGGAAUAGGACCCUGUCCUCCUAUUUUCAGUUGGUUUUGGCAGCGCGAGGACUAGGGUAAUGAUUAAUAGGGAUAGUUGGGGGCAUUAAUAUUUAAUUGUCAGAGGUGAAAUUCUUGGAUUUAUGAAAGAUUAACUUCUGCGAAAGCAUCUGCCAAGGAUGUUUUCAUUAAUCAAGAACGAAAGUUAGGGGAUCGAAGACGAUCAGAUACCGUCGUAGUCUUAACCAUAAACGAUGCCGACCAGCGAUUAGGAGACGUUGAAUACAAAACACCACCAUCGGUUGCGGUCGUCCUUGGCGUCCGGUUUCGGCCGGGGCGCGGGGAUGGCUUAGCCCGGUGGCA